UCCAGACUCCUACGGGAGGCAGCAGUGGGGGAUAUUGCACAAUGGGGGGAACCCUGAUGCAGCGACGCCGCGUGGGUGAAGGAGCGUUUCGGCGCGUAAAGCCCUCUCGGCAGGGAAGAAGGAGGACGGUACCUGACUAAGAAGCCCCGGCUAACUACGUGCCAGCAGCCGCGGUAAUACGUAGGGGGCAAGCGUUAUCCGGAUUUACUGGGUGUAAAGGGGGCGCAGACGGCAGCGCAAGCCAGGAGUGAAAGCCCGGGGCCCAACCCCGGGACUGCUCUUGGAACUGCGCGGCUGGAGUGCAGGAGGGGCAGGCGGAAUUCCUGGUGUAGCGGUGAAAUGCGUAGAUAUCAGGAGGAACACCGGUGGCGAAGGCGGCCUGCUGGACUGCGACCGACGUUGAGGCCCGAAAGCGUGGGGAGCAAACAGGAUUAGAUACCCCGGUAGA
rnacentral:rRNA from 1 species